GAAGAAAGGAAUAUACUCGGUAAGUGCAGUAAGACAACAUUAUAACCUGGAAUGCAAAAUUGUUGACACAUAUCCACCUUGAGCGACAUCAUAUAAGGCAUCACGUUUCCUUGGAGUAGCUUGCAAAAACGUCCUCCAUGGAACGUGGUGUUGCCGAUUUCCAGAAUUUGACUGUGAUAGAAUUUAAGAAACCUUUCAUCAUCUGCAUACUGACCUGGAAAGAGUUUAAGUAGGAGGAUUUGUUGGGAAAAUGGAAUGGAAUUGUUUAAAAAUACAUAAGAUCAUGUAUUUGGACCCACGACUACUGUGUGUUCAGAAAGCCCACCACAUAUGUAUAUGUAAAACUAAUUGUGAGCACCAUCCCUUGCAUUAUGUAUAUGUAGGUUGAUAGAAAACUGUUAAGACUUUAGGGCAGGGGUUAGUAACCUAUGGCAUGUGUGCCAAAGAUGGCACGGAAGAUGCCUUUGCAUAGCAGCAUGACUGCACACUAAAACAGACUGGGGAAAUCUCAGAAUCUCCAGUGGAAGUGCCCUUAGCCAGAUAUCUGCUAGUGCCAACUGAACAUUCAGUACUAGCAGUGAUUGCAGCACGUGGUAAGGGGCAGUUCUCAAUUCAAUCUUUACAGAACUUGGAGGAAGUGAGUAUCCUUGUGCAUCUGAGAGUGUAUAUCUGUAUGUAUGUGUAUUUCUGUGUUAGUGAGCAAAUGUGUGGAGGAAACUGCUUGCAGUAUGUUGUGUGUAUGGGGGGCUGCUUGUGGUCUUGCUGUGUACAUUGUGAUUAUGAUGGGGUUGUUUUGUGUGUGUGAGGGAUGAUUAUGUGACCAUGAGGGUUACUGUGUGUGUGGUGGUGCCCAAGGCCGUCUUUAAUAUUGAUUGGGCCCUGGGCAAGAAUUUACUUGGGCACCCUGGAUUCUGCCUUCCCACACCCUAUCAUGCAAUCAUGCCCUCCACCACAACACACACAAAAAUGUGCAGUGUGUGAGUAUUUUUCAGCCAACCCACUGCUUUCCCAUAGGAAAGCAUUGGGAGGCUAUUGCGCAUGCGUGGCAAAACACUGCGCUGCACCAAUCAGCAUCUCCUCAUAGAGAUGUGUUGAAUCAAUGCAUUUCUAUGAGGAGUGUUCAGCGUGAAUGACAUUGCUGCACGUUGUGAAUGACAUUGCUGCAUCUCUAGAUGCCGUCUGAUGAGUGGCCACUAGAUCCUAGGCAGUAAUGCAAAUACAUUAUACAUUUACAUUAAAAAGCCUGCAGAGACAUGCUAUAGACACAAGCACUACUAUGUUUAGCUGUUGUGGUUCUGGUGACUAUAGUGCCCCUUGAAUAUAGAGAAAAAGAAGAAUCAGCACAAAUGUAUGGAAUAAAAUGUCUGUAUAAUUAUUCAAAAAAUUAUUUAAAAAAAAAAAACUAUGCACAUUCCUAGCUUGAUUUUUAGCACAACUUCUGACACAAACAUUUUGUACUUUGCAGAUUACUUUGUAUAUGUAUAAAAAAUAUAUAAUAAGGAAUCUGUAAAAUACGAAAUAUUUCUGUCAGAAGUUGUGCUUUUUUAAUUUUUAGAAUUAUGAUGCUGCCAUUUUAUUUCAUACAUUUGUGCUAAUUUGGUGCUGGUUGGAGGGGGGCGAGGGGCAGUUUUACACAAUCUUUAUAUUUUUUGGUACAUAUACAGAUUGUGUAAUACUGCCCCUCAUUCCUCUCCAACCAGCAAUGAAAUUAGCAUAAAUGUAUUAAAUAAAAUGGCUGUAUCAUUAUUCUAAAAAAGCACAACUUCUGGCACAAAUACUUUGUAUUUUACAGAUUACUUUUAUUUAUUUAAACAAUGUGUAGAUAAAGAUAGUACAGUACUAACCCCUCAACCCCACCUUCUCCAACCACCCCUCCCUAAUCCUCCACCCUCCAACCACCCCGGCCUCUUACCCCCAUAAAACAACCAAGUAAUAUAUAUUCAGUGAAUUACUGUAUUUAAGUACUUACAGUUCUGAAGACAGCAGGCAGCAGGCUCAGGGAUCAGUGCUCUGGGGCCUGGGCUCAGGAUUCAUGGUGUGCGGCGCCGCUCUGCAGUUGGGUGAGACUGGGCUCAACCUAGUGUUGCCCCAUGACGUCACGGCAACGCACAUAAGCAAAAGGCAGUGGAGGUCAGGAGUGACUGGAGGAGGUCGGAGGAGGAGGAGCAAUUAAGUCCUUCGACUCCUUCACUAUGUGGCGAUGCCGCUCGCAUAGUGAAGGACUCGGGUGGCAAAAAAAUUAUGUAGUAUAUUAUUGUGGGCUCAAGAGGCAGCUGCCUUGGGCCCCCUGGGAGCAACUGGGUCCGGGGCAGCUGCCCCUUUUGCCCCGCGUUAAAGACGACCCAUGUGGUGCCUGUGCAUAAGGCUGCCUAUGUGUUUAUGAGGGUGACUGUGACAGGUCGGUUGUGAUAAAGUGAGUGUGACAGGCUGACUUUGGCAGUGUGAUUGUGUGUGAUGUGUAAGUCUGAUGAGUGACUAUGCCAUGCUGACUGUGUGUGAGGAAUUAGUGUGGUGGGUGACUGUGACAUGGUGACUGUAUAUGAGAAGGUAAGUAUGUGGUGACAGUGGCAAUGUGAUUGUGUGUGAGGAUUUAGUGUGGGGAUUGACCGACUUUGACACGGUGACUGUGUGUUAGGGGUGAUGUGACAUGGUGAUUGUGUGUGAGGCCUUAGUGUGGCGGUUAGUUAAUGGUUUAUUUAAAUCUAAUUUCUAUGUAACCGCCAAAAUCACAAUCAUGUUUAAGGUCACAGUUAUCAUCUACCCGGAUAGUUCCUGAACUUCUAUUAUACAAUUCUGGUAUGGUAGCUUGCGUCCUUCAGUUCACUUUAACAUCAGCAUUCUAACUGAUGUUUCUAAGAUAACACACGAUUGACCCAUCAGUAGGGAGCAUUGUUUUACUUAUUUGUUUUACAGAAUAGCUUUGUGCAAAUGUGAAACACUUUUUUUCACUUUCCCGUUUCAAAUCAUACCCAUAUGUUUUAGAAUUCCACAUCCUAUUGAAAUGCAUGAUAUUUACCUUUACUUAUGUUGUAAUAAAUACCUUCCAUCUAAAAUUAGUAUGUACCACUAUAUCAUUUACAGAUAACAAAGAUUUUUGUCUACAUUUUAAUAGACAUUUUGAUACCAAAUAUAUGCAUAAACGUGUAUCCCAAUAUUAAAUAUUUUAGUUUAAAAACUUACUAGUUAGGCUGAGCAGCAGUUGGCCAGAUAACAGUAGAGUGUGACCCAACAUUGCUGCUCAGACAAAUAAGAAAGUGACAUUUUCUAUUAAAAAAAAGUAAUCAACUUUGUUUAAGGAGUAAUGAAAAUGUCAUGAUGGUUAGUUGCCCUUUAAGAAUGUAUAACUAAACAAUAAUGUGUAUUAUGCCUUUUAGCAACAAUGUUAAAAUGCAUAAUGUUUUAAAAUUCACUGUUCAGAAAGUAGGAUGCUAAUUGCAAUAUAAAUCUUCAAUAUUAAUAUUAUUAACCUUCAGUUAACAUGACAGUAUAGUUUUAGUAUUAGAUCUGCAUAUAUAUAAUUAGCACUGUAAUCUUGAUAUACUUUGAUUAGUGUCUUUAAAAUGUCUCUUUAUUGAUUUCAGAUCUGUCAUGUUUUUUGAUGUGAAUGUAUGGGUUUCCAGACCAAAACAGAAAAAUGUUCUUGGAAGAUGAUGAUCCACCACCAUGGUUCUAUUACCAAAAAGAAAAGUGUUAGAAUACAUUACUCAUUUUGCUAUUCUGCAACUAAGUAUUGUACAAUUGUAUCGCUACUUGCUAAAAAAUUAUCGGUAUUAUUUACUAAACUGGCAAUUAUGGAGAAUUGAUCAGAUAAUUUUAAAGUUUAGUACAGCUUAGUCAAGUUAGAAACAUAGCGGAACUCAAGAUUACUUAAAACUUAAUUUACCUUAAAAUGUGCAUUUGUAUGGUGAAUUAUGGAUUAGCAAAAAAAACAGCAUGUUAAUAACUUAUCACAUGGUUUCAAUAUUUUACAAUUUGCUCCUGUACAUUCAUACACUCCUCACAUUAUGCAUUAUUUUACCGAUUUAGAUACUCAUGCAGAGCAAAAGCCUUCAAUGUGAGUAAUGACUUUAUUUAUAACAAUUAUAAAACAUUGUGUUUUAGGGUCACUGUUGUAUGAAACUUACUGGGGCAUAUUGGGCAAAUUCUGAUUUAUUAAGUGUCACUUGUCUUUGAAAAUACUAAUAAUAAUGGACAUGUCCUGCUCUUUAAUUAUAAUGUGAGUCUAUUUAAUGUCCUACCUUUAGAAAUAAAAAA
rnacentral:lncRNA from 1 species